rnacentral:rRNA from 1 species
GACGAACGCUGGCGGCAUGCCUAACACAUGCAAGUCGAACGAGACCUUCGGGUCUAUUUGCCCACGGGUUCGUCACGCGAGGGAACCUUCCCUUAUGGUCGGACUAACUCUCCGAAAGGGGUACUAUUAGGGGAUAAUUGCUUCUGACCAAUGAUUUAUCGCCCUUGGAUGUGCCGGAGUUAAAGUUGCUAUUUCGUAGGGUAAACGCCUACCAAGGCGAGGAUGCAUAGCUGGUCUGAGAGGAAGAUCCGCAACACUGGGACUGUGACACGGCCGAGACUCCUGCGGGAGGCAGCAGUGCGGAACAUUGGACAACGGGCGAAUGAAUGAGGCAGUCAUGCCGCGAGAGUGAUGAAGUCAUUAAGGUUGUAAAGGACAUUUAACAGGGCAGAUAAUGACAGUACCGGGAGAGUAAGCUACGGCUAACUACGUG